rnacentral:rRNA from 1 species
GACGACGCUGGCGGCGUGGAUUAGGCAUGCAAGUCGAACGGUAUCAUCCUUUCGGGGGUGAGAGAGUGGCGAACUGGUGAGUAACACGUAGGUUAUCUACCCUCAAGACGGGGACAACCCAGGGAAACUUGGGCUAAUACCGGAUGUGAGCAACUUUUAGUUGUUUGAAAGUGGCGUAAGCUGUCGCUUGGGGAUGAGCCUGCGUCCUAUUAGUUAGUUGGUGAGGUAACGGCUCACCUAGGCAAUGAUAGGUAGGCGGCCUUAACGGGUGGUCGCCCACACUGGGAUUGAGAUACGGCCCAGACUCCUACGGGAGGCAGCAGUCGAGAAUAGUCUACAAUGGUCGGAAGACUGAUAGUGCGACGCCGCGUGAACGAUGAAUCCCUUCGGGGUGUAAAGUUCUUUUAUAUGUGAGCAGUGCUUCUUAUAUUAACAGUAUGGGGAGAGAGAUAUUAGCAUAUGAAUAAGCAACGGCUAACUCCGUG